rnacentral:rRNA from 1 species
AGAACUUAGCAGAGAUGCUUUGGUGCCUUCGGGAACUCUGAGACAGGUGCUGCAUGGCUGUCGUCAGCUCGUGUUGUGAAAUGUUGGGUUAAGUCCCGCAACGAGCGCAACCCUUAUCCUUUGUUGCCAGCGGCUCGGCCAGGAACUCAAAGGAGACUGCCGGUGAUAAACCGGAGGAAGGUGGGGAUGACGUCAAGUCAUCAUGGCCCUUACGGCCAGGGCUACACACGUGCUACAAUGGCGCAUACAAAGAGAAGCGACCUCGCGAGAGCAAGCGGACCUCAUAAAGUGCGUCGUAGUCCGGAUUGGAGUCUGCAACUCGACUCCAUGAAGUCGGAAUCGCUAGUAAUCGUAGAUCAGAAUGCUACGGUGAAUACGUUCCCGGGCCUUGUACACACCGCCCGUCACACCAUGGGAGUGGGUUGCAAAAGAAGUAGGUAGCUUAACCUUCGGGAGGGCGCUUACCACUUUGUGAUUCAUGACUGGGGUGAAGUCGUAACAAGGUAAGCGUAGCGAG